UACGUAGGUGGCAAGCGUUGUCCGGAUUUACUGGGCGUAAAGAGCGCGCAGGCGGUUAGUUAAGUCGGAUGUGAAAGCCCCCGGCUUAACUGGGGAGGGUCAUUCGAUACUGUUUAACUUGAAGGCAGGAGAGGGUAGUGGAAUUCCCGGUGUAGUGGUGAAAUGCGUAGAUAUCGGGAGGAACACCAGUGGCGAAGGCGACUACCUGGCCUGUUCUUGACGCUGAGGCGCGAAAGCUGGGGGAGCAAACAGG
rnacentral:rRNA from 1 species